UCCCUGGUAGUAUAUCGGUUAGUACACGCGCCUGUCAUGUCCUGUGCUGGUUUGUUAACAUAAGACGCGCGAAAGCUGGGUUCGACUCCCAGCCAGGGAG